rnacentral:rRNA from 1 species
UGGGGAAUCUUCCGCAAUGGACGAAAGUCUGACGGAGCAACGCCGCGUGAGUGAAGAAGGUUUUCGGAUCGUAAAACUCUGUCUUUUGGGGCGAACGUGAGUAUGGUGAACAAUCAUAGUCAGUGACGGUACCAAAGGAGGAAGCCACGGCUAACUACGUGCCAGCAGCCGCGGUAAUCGUAGGUGGCAAGCGUUGUCCGGAAUUAUUGGGCGUAAAGAGCGCGUAGGCGGGAUAGUCAGUCUGUUGUAAAAGUGCGGGGCUCAACCCCGUGAUGGCAAUGGAAACAGCUAUUCUUGAGUGCAGGAGAGGAAAGUGGAAUUCCCAGUGUAGCGGUGAAAUGCGUAGAUAUUGGGAGGAACACCAGUGGCGAAGGCGACUUUCUGGACUGUGUCUGACGCUGAGGCGCGAAAGCCAGGGGAGCGAACGGGAUUAGAUACCCCGGUAGUCCUGGCCGUAAACGAUGGGUACUAGGUGUGGGGGGUAUCGACCCCUUCCGUGCCGGAGUUAACGCAAUAAGUACCCCGCCUGGGGAGUACGGUCGCAAGACUGAAACUCAAAUGAAUUGACGGGGUCAUAGCUG